UAGAGGUUUCAAGAGAUACUGCAAGAGAGAAACUUGUUCAAGACCAGCGCUUAAUUGCGCGGUUGCGGCUUGGUUCGCCUUUUGCGGAACUUGUCUCUUGUCGUCGUUAACUCUGCUUCAACUUCUACAACACUGUGGAGUUUUCUAUUAAAACUUUUCUUCUUUGGGGAGAUACGUCUUGAGCGUGCUCCCCAGAGGUGACAAACACAAACAACAUUUUAUUUCUAUAAACCAGUCAAAACCAAUUUCGUUAUGAAAUUAAAAAUAUUUAAAACUUUCAACAACGGAUCUCUUGGUUCUCGCAUCGAUGAAGAACGCAGCGAAAUGCGAUACGUAAUGUGAAUUGCAGAAUUCCGUGAAUCAUCGAAUCUUUGAACGCACAUUGCGCCCCUUGGUAUUCCAGGGGGCAUGCCUGUUUGAGCGUCAUUUCCUUCUCAAACAUUCAUGUUUGGUAGUGAGUGAUACUCUGUCAAGGGUUAACUUGAAAUUGCUAGCCUGUUAUUUGGUUGUGAUUUUGCUGGCUUGGAUGACUUUGUCCAGUCUAGCUGAUACCGAAUUGUCGUAUUAGGUUUUACCAACUUCGGCAGACUGUGUGUUGGCUUAGGCGUUUUAAAGACUUGGUCGUAAACGAUUUAUCGUUUGUUUGAGCUCUUAGCAUACGCAAUCCGGCGAACAAUACUCUCAAAGUUUGACCUCAAAUCAGGUAGGAAUACCCGCUGAACUUAAGCAUAUCAA
rnacentral:rRNA from 1 species